UAAGGAAUAUUGGGCAAUGGACGCAAGUCUGACCCAGCCAUGCCGCGUGAAGGAUGAAUGUCCUAUGGAUUGUAAACUUCUUUUAUGCAGGAAAAAUAUCCUGGUCGUGAACCGGGAUUGAUGGUACUGUAUGAAUAAGCAUCGGCUAACUCCGUGCCAGCAGCCGCGGUCAUACGGAGGAUGCAAGCGUUAUCCGGAUUCAUUGGGUUUACAGGGUGCGCAGGCGGAAUGCGAAGUCAGUGGUGAAAUCUACCGGCUUAACCGGGAAACUGCCAUUGAUA
rnacentral:rRNA from 1 species